rnacentral:rRNA from 1 species
GAUGAACGCUGGCGGCGUGCCUAAUACAUGCAAGUCGAGCGAACAGACGAGGAGCUUGCUCCUCUGACGUUAGCGGCGGACGGGUGAGUAACACGUGGAUAACCUACCUAUAAGACUGGGAUAACUUCGGGAAACCGGAGCUAAUACCGGAUAAUCUAUUGAACCGCAUGGUUCAAUAGUGAAAGACGGUUUUGCUGUCCUUUAUAGAUGGAUCCGCGCCGCAUUAGCUAGUUGGUAAGGUAACGGCUUACCAAGGCAACGAUGAGUAGCCGACCUGAGAGGGUGAUCGGCCACACUGGAACUGAGACACGGUCCAGACUCCUACGGGAGGCAGCAGUAGGGAAUCUUCCGCAAUGGGCGAAAGCUUGACGGAGCAACGCCGCGUGAGUGAUGAAGGUCUUCGGAUCGUAAAACUCUGUUAUUAGGGAAGAACAAAUGUGUAAGUAACUAUGCACGUCUUGACGGUACCUAAUCAGAAAGCCACGGCUAACUACGUG